CGCAUCUGUGCAUGCAGCAUAUCAAUAAGCGGAGGAAAAGAAACUAACAAGGAUUCCCUUAGUAACGGCGAGUGAAGCGGGAAGAGCUCAAAUUUGAAAUCUUCAAGGUUUUACCUUGACGAAUUGUAGUUUAAAGAAGUGUUUUCUGUUGAAGUUUUGGUAAAAGUUCUUUGGAAUAGGACAUCAUAGAGGGUGAGAAUCCCGUAUUUGACCAUUAUUUUCAGCUGUGUGAUACACUUUCAAAGAGUCGGAUUGUUUGGGAAUGCAGUCCAAAAUGGGUGGUAAAUUUCAUCUAAAGCUAAAUAUUGGCGAGAGACCGAUAGCGAACAAGUACCGUGAGGGAAAGAUGAAAAGAACUUUGAAAAGAGAGUUAAACAGUACGUGAAAUUGUCAAAAGGGAAGCGUUUGACACCAGUGUUGUUUUCUCGAAAAUCAAUUAAAAAGAGUUAGAUUUUGUUGUGUAUUGACCUUAACAGCUUGCAUUUCAAUUUUCUUGCUUUUUUUAAUGCACUUUUCGUUUAACAAGUCAACAUCAGUUUCUUUUGUUGUAAAAAGGUCAUUGGAAGGUGGCUUUCUUUUCGGAGAAAGUGUUUAUAGCCUUUGACUCCUGCAAUCGGAGAGACUGAGGUCUGUAGCGUAGAUCCUUCGGGGUUAGAUACAUUUGUGCUAAGUUAUAGCUUUUUAUAGACAACUUGUUGACUAUGAUUAGUCUUGUAGCUUACUCGCUUAUGCUAUUUUACCUACGCUUAGGAUGUUGACACACGCAGCGUGCUCG
rnacentral:rRNA from 1 species